AUUGAACGCUGGCGGCAGGCCUAACACAUGCAAGUCGAACGAGUGGCGGACGGGUGAGUAAUGUCUGUGAAACUGCCCGAUGGAGGGGGGUAACUACUGGAAACGGUAGCUAAUACCGCAUACCAUCGGAUGUGCCCAGAUGGGAUUAUCUAGGAGGGGGGGUAACGGCUCACCUAGGCGACGAUCCCUAGCUGGUCUGAGAGGAUGACCAGCAAAACUGGAACUGAUAAACGGUCCAGACUCCUACGGGAGGAAGCAGUGGGGAAAAUUGCACAAUGGGCGAAAGCCUGAUGCAGCAAUGCCGCGUGUAUGAAGAAGGCCUUCGGGUUGUAAAGUACUUUCAGCGAGGAGGCGUUACUCGCAGAAGAAGCACCGGCUAACUCCGUGCCAGCAGCCGCGGUAAUUC
rnacentral:rRNA from 1 species